AUUCUUCAUUCUGCUUGAAUUUAUUUGCCAUUCUUUUCUUUUGAAUUUGGUUUAAUAAUAGAGUAAUUAGUAGAUUAUAAGACUAGAAUAUGAAAGAAUUCUAAUAAAUCAAAUGCUUUCUUUUAUCAAUUUGCUCAUGCUAAUUAAAAGUGUUCCCUAACUAGCACAAGAUACCUAGAGUCAAACAAAUAUUCAAAUGAGAGAUUAUAGCCUUCAGAUCUUCAAUAUACAAAGUUGACUGGACAAUGUACAUAGUUGAAUGGACAAUGUACAUAGUUAAGAAAGAAAAGUAACUGUGUGUUUGUCACUCUGUUACUUUUAGAGUUCAAAGACAAAAAAAAAACAAUAAAAAUUUAAUCUUGCAAUCAUCUUCCUCUUGCAAGAUAUUGAU